AGGGGCCAAAUUAGACCCCGUGGGCUCUCCGGAGUUAAAUCAAAACUCCUAUGGUGAUGACCUCAGAGAAAUUGGAUUGGGAUGAGGCGCUGCCAUUUGUGCUUCUCACCAUGAGGUCCACCAUUAAUUCCGCCACAGGUUUCACACCUCUUAAGAUGGAACAUGACCAGGAGUUCCCUGUUCCGUGGUGUUCCAUGGUCCUGGGCACUCUCCAACAGAAAAUUCUAUUCCCCAUAAAGCAAAGAUAGACUCAUUGAGUGUUCUCGUCUCCCAUUUUCAGGAGCGGACAAGACUCCAGGGUGAACACCCCGGGAAACCACAGACGUAUCCCGAGAGUGUGUAUCUGGGGGUCCUAAAGCGGAAGUGGCACCAGCUGAGAUGAAUGGGACCACGCAAAGUGACACAAAGGACCCGUCGUGCUGUCUACCUGGAUGGAAGGCAACAGCCCCAAGAAGCAUCUCCAACUCCAAAGUCACCUUCGGAAGGACAACUGGACAUGAAACCAAGACAAAGUUAUCAGUGGGACCAGAACUAAUAACAUAUCUUUCUGAUUAAACUGGUUAUUUUGGUCUCUAUUCCUCUACUGAUAUGGGCAUUGGUGUCAAGCUUCACUGAGACUGUUACUUCUGGCUGUAGUUUGUUUGAUAAUACUUUGCACAAGAUAGGAUAGGUGGCUCCACUUUGACGACAGAUUUUGGCACAGAAGUUUUGUGAUCACAAUAUUAAUUGUGAUCAAGAGAGGCAUUGUUGAGGAAUUUCACCUUGCUAUGAGAACUAUUGACACUAGUCUCUGUCUUGAACAUCUGCUGAAGUGCUUAAAACAAAGAAUGUAGUGUGAAGUUUAGAUCCUAUUUCCCCUUGAGUGGUUAACAGCCCCCAAGUGUCUUCUUCUGGUCUCCCAUCUCUGCUGUGCCCCUCAGGGCUGUCAAGUUCCCUGAGAAAGGAACUCCAAUCUCAUAAUUUGUGCACAGCAGAUGUGGUCUGUACUUUGUCAAAAUGCCAAGAUCGAACUGCCUUGACCUUUCUUUGUCUCUGAUUUUUACAUAAGGGGUAGGACUGCCCGCCCCUCAUUAACGUAAUUAACAUACUAUGCCUAUAUAUACGCGAGACUGUAUUUCUUCGAGGCUUCCUGAUGAAAUCUGAGACUCACAGGAGCCCGAAUCGAUUCGUGUUGCGUUGUGAUAAACUU